rnacentral:rRNA from 1 species
GACGAACGCUGGCGGCGUGCCUAAUACAUGCAAGUCGAACGCAGUGGGGACGGGUGAGUAACACGUGGGUAACCUCCCAUCAGAGGGGAUAACACUUGGACACAGGUGCUAAACCGAUACUGAUGGAUGGCACCGCGGGGGAUUAGCUAGUUGGCGGGGUAACGGCUCACCAAGGCGACGAUGCCUAGCCGGCCUGAGAGGAUGACCGGCCACACUGGGACUGAGACACGGUCCAGACUCCUACGGGAGGCAGCAGUGGGGAAUCUUGGACAAUGGGCGAAAGUCUGAGACAGCCACGCCGCGUGUAUGAAGAAGGCCUUCGGGUUGUAAAGCACUGUCAGUGGGGAGGCGUUACUCGCAGAAGAAGCCCCGGCUAACUACGUGCCAGCAGCCGCGGUAAUUC